UGUUUUGGCAAAUUCUACACUGUGCUCUAACAUUGUAUACAUUAUUAAAAUGCAUCCAAAUGCUACUGUGCUUCCAACUCAUUUUCCAGCUGUUGUUUUCACAGCUGUCCUUCCUCUCUCUCCUGGGCUGCUAAGUGUGUGACUGUGAGUGAGUUGGCUCGGCCCUCCCUCACGCAUCUUUGGUUCAUUGGUUGACACUGCUUGUCAGGUGAGGCUGUUAGUAUGAGCAGACAGUCAGAACGAAUGUGUGCGCUUGAGCAUUUAGGCUUAUAUGUACUUUUUCUUUCUUUGAAUUAGUUAAUUCUAUUCAUUUAAAUCUUUUGAUUAUUAAUAUCUUAAUUUUCGAUAUAUUUUUUAAUAGAUUCAGCUCUUCUGAUAUGCGAGCCGGCUCCCAACGUUCACCUACAAGGGCCGGCUCGUAGAGCCGACUCGUUCGCAAACGACCCAUCUCUAGUAAGUCUCAUUGAAGCCUAACAACCUGGGUGCAGUUAUUUGAUUGAAUAUCUAUGUCAUAUACUACCAAAUACUCUACCAUGAAGUCAAAUGAAUUGAAACGUAGUUCAAAUAAGAAUAGACUGAAUGCUUUCAAUGGUUUAGUAUGAUUAAUUUUCUCUUCCCCCUAUUAGGGCUAGGGAACAUGAAAUAGAUAAGAGAACGGGAGAAGCUGGAAGACAAAAAAGAGGCAGAGGAACUCCACGUGAAUAAAAUGGCUUUUUUUUCUGUAGAAGCAAGGCAUGCAGGAGCAAAAGAAAGAAGGGCAGCAGAGAAAUACCAUGAAAGCUCACGUUAAGAGGCAUCUCUCUAACAGAGAUAUCAUUAGAGCAAUAGAGGCACAAAAGCAAGAGAUGGAGGGGGAGCGCUGGAGGCUUUUUUCAAAUGCAUAACAGAAAAUGGUGAAGUUAAGGAAAGAUAAAGAGGAAGAGAUGUUCAGGUGAGUAGAAAAUGAUUGAAAAAGGAAAUCACAUGAGAAAACAUUUGAAGUACCACAAAAAUAAAUAUAUAUCUUUGGCAUCACUAGUCAACAGUUGUCUUACAAUUCUGAAAGUCUCAUGGGCAUAGAUUUGCUAAGCCUCUUCUCCCUCCUAAGAGAGGUCCAUAUGCCCAGGGAGAGGAUCAUGAAGAAAUUGGCUCCACA
rnacentral:lncRNA from 13 species